UCGGACGAGGACAAGCUGACAGGAAGCAGCACUUUCCCGCCUCGUCUGUGUUUAUGUGAAACUUUGGAGAAACGACUGAUAAUUUCAUGUGAAGGGAAUUUGUUGGCGUGCGGGGAGAAAAAAGAGGGAGGGGAGGUCCUCCUGCGUUUUAGGGAGCAGAUGUUUGAGAGAGGAAGGCUACAAACUCACGCCGAAAACAAACCGAUCAAGCCGGAAGCCUGGGGCUUGGAGUGGACACCUUUAAUUAUAGCAACCGGUGAGUGCGAUACCGUGCCGCAAAGAACAGCUCCAUGCACAACUAGAAGGUUCCAGUUUUGACCUUCAACUCAACUGAAUUGCACAAAGACCAAAAGAUACAGCGGUGUAAUGGCUUACAUAUGACUACAUAUUUGUGGCUUUGCUGCUUACUUGAAAGGAAUCAAGUCAUGUCUUAAAAACUGAAGUCUGCUGAUUGAAGACUGUGC